GCUGUCAGCGCUGCCUUUAGUUUGAACACCUCAAAAUUAGGGUCCAGUUGGGAGGAAAAAAGAAGAGUUCAGCCAACACUGUCUUGAUAAACUACAGGUACGAACACUAGAGAUGGUUAAUUUAGUUGACAACACAGAAAAGAGAGAUUAAUUUGGGGUUCCACAGUGUGUGGGCACUUUCUGAAGAUGUUCAGUACAAUAAAAUACAAUCAGGGGAGCCUAAUUUCAAACUGUAGGGUCCGGUUCACAGGGUGAAGUGAGCACAAAGAAUUAAUUCACUUGAAUUUGGUAAAAUAAAUUGAAAAUGAUAAGGUUCUCAGCCACUGUUUUCUUGUUACUGUGUUGUCUGUUAAUGGAUGUUUAAUUUGUUAGCAACUAGAAGGAAGGCAGUGAAAACAGGGAGGCAGAAACAUGUUCACAUUGUCCUUGGGCAGAAGUUUCCACUCAUUUAGCUGAAAAUACUCUAGGGGUUGAGAAGAUAUUCAUGAAAUGAGAAGAUAAGUUUUACACUCAAGUUCCUUUGUUGCUGCAAUCCUGAAGACCCAGUGACCUGGCACCGCAGCUUCACUUGUGGUGGUGAUAUGCCAUUAGUGCAGGGUGGUUAAAAUCACUGCCUUACAAAACUAAUUAAAUACCUUUUUAAUCAUUUGUCAUGUUAGAGUAAGAACUUCAUUAUAUGUACCCAGAGAUCUUGAGUUUAUGGCACAUUGGCAUAAAGAAUUAUCAGAAGAAGUCAUCUUUGCAACAAUCCAUUCAAAUGAUGUGGAAGUAGGUGUUCUGCUCAUAUGUCUCUAAAUUAAACUCUUUACACUGAAAAUAUUGUUUGAAGAGUAAAGCCAAAAGUCCACUCUAACCACACUACCCUUUUGCAAAACAUGAUGUUGGCAAGAUUAUGUUGUGGAGUUUGUUGGAUAACAAACUUAAACCUACUGCAUGACCACAGCUAAAAUGGGACUGUUCACUGCAUUUCUACGUGUCAAAAUUUCCUCUGAACACAUAUGUAAAUGCAAUAAAAAGGUUUCCAAUGCCCUUUGCUUAAGGUUUUUACUGUCCUUCAAUGAAGUUGUGAUGUUUGUAAUUAGACUCUGAAUAUGUUGCAUAAUGUUUCCCUAUAGCAGACAUUUCCCUGCAAAAUGGGUCAGAUUUCAUCCAGACACAAUGAGAAUCCUAGCGGAUGUGAACAGCAUACUGAGAAGGAGAGUUUAUCGCUGUGGGAACACUGAGCUCCAGAGCCUUACUGCUGCAGCUCAGAUCUGACGAUACAGGACAUGACAGCAGCCUUAACACAUGGGGCCAUCAGGGAGACGAAUAAAAGCAGAAGCCACAUCCUUCCUCCCAGAGGGGGCAGGUGCAGUCAUCCUGCCGGCUGUCGAGCAUGAGAAUGUCGUGCUGUGCAUCGCAUUGCUGCUGCUUAGCAGUUUGCAGAGGACAUGUUGCUUUUGCUGUUAAUUUGGGAAAACUUAGGUGAAUAUGGAAAAGCAGAAAUGUGUACACUUAAGCUCCCUUUACGAUGACAGUCCUAGCUAUUUAAGAUGUGUAAAUGUUUUUAAAGUGAAGUGUUGUUGUUCUUGCAUUAACAUAUUCUAAUGCUGGAAACAUAAAAAAAAAAUCCAUUGUUUAAUUUAUUCUGAGGUGAAGAGAAAAUCCAACAUUAAUUUUUAAGGUAACCUUGUGUGUUUUUCAGCCACAUAGUGCUACUUUAUAGCACAAAUAAAUAACUAUGUUUCCUUCAGGUGUUAUACAAAGGCUGCAUAUGUCAAAUAUGACUUAAAAGACUUUGUAAUUUACGCCUAGUACUGGCUAGUCUGAAGGAGUUGAGUGGAGGAGCUGCUCUGUGAGGGAGAAGCUUGGAUACUUGGAAAGUGCUGAAGGUGGUGCUAGAUCCACCCAUCCAUUUUGCACAGCUCAGUCCUUUUCUCCAGUACUCCACAAUGUUGAAUAUACACUACCUCACAGGUUUUAGGGGCAGAGUUCUUGACAGGCAUUGGAAGAUGGUUGAUUUUGUGUUUAAUGGACCAUUUCUGUCUUGAUUCAACUAGAUGUCUGUUUUAUGACAGAGUAUAUAUUUUUAUUUCAAAUUUCCUGGUAUUUCAAAGAGGUGAUAAUACCAUGCACUCGAACAAGGUUCCCUGUAAACUUCGGGAGAAAACAGCUUCAGGUGUAGUUAUUUUAUGGGACUUGUAAGUGAUGCCACUGAAUAAUUUUGCUUGAAUGAAGGUUGAUUCUUUCUAAACAUCUUAAUAUGAAAAUAUGCAUUACACGUCCUUCACUUACAUAUUUCUCCCAAACAUAUCGCAUAAAAAAAGACAGUGAUUUAUGCCUUUAGAGCACAUGAGCAACAGAAAAAAAAACCCUCAUCUUAAAAGCAUGUAAAAAGAAAGAAUAAAAUCAAUUUGCAAAUCUAUUAAAGAAGUUACAGUGCAUCCUAAAAAGCACCUCAUUUGUACAUCUGCAGCAUCUCAGGGUUUAGUUUCAUGCUUGAGGGGAGAGCUGCUAACCCUCACAGAUGCUGCAGUUAAUAAAAGAACGUAAAGAAAUUAAAUCCCACAGCUGAGUGGCGACUCAUUCUGCCGUGUUGCUCCACAGUGUAGCUACAACUGUCCUCUGGCGGUAAUUGCAGCUGAAACCUUCCGUGAUGGAAACAAGAUUCCCCCUUAAACAAGGGAUUAAUUGUAGUCUGCCAGGCACUGCGGUUUUGCUGGCACCGUACCGGAUUACUCUGGCCAACACAUUCUCUUGCACUUGUCUAUGUACUCAUCCCCCUUCCUCCAAGUCUUAGCAAAUUAAUGAUCAUCUGGUUGAACAAAGAGAGAAUUGUUAAACGUUAAAAUAAAUCUGUGACACAGA